rnacentral:lncRNA from 1 species
UGGAUUUGGUGCUUAUAGAAGUAGCAUUGGUUCUGACAGUGGAAGCUUUUUUCCUUCAAUACUUUCAAUUUCCAAGGGGCUCAUUCCCCACAGGCAAUGCCACUAUUGAGUGAAAGCAUCAUUCAAGCUCACAUAGUCACAGAUUUUCAGCUGGGAGAUAAAAGACUCCAUGCAAGACAAAUGGUAGGAGGACAUCAAACAAGACUGUGUCCAUGCAGUGACAGAAGCAAUCCAAUUGAAGAAGCUGUUGAUUUCUACAAGGAAAUUAUACGUGCAGAAUAUCAUCUGUGCAGAACCACAUGGUUUUCCUGAACAUCCAUAUGUGCACUGUACCUUGAACGUGAGGAAUGUAAGGAGAAUAAAGUCAGGUACUUUCUGAAUUCUUUUUCA